AUUGAACGCUGGCGGAAUGCUUUACACAUGCAAGUCGAGCGGCAGCGCGGGGGCAACCCUGGCGGCGAGCGGCGAACGGGUGAGUAAUACAUCGGAACGUGUCCUUAAGUGGGGGAUAGCUCGGCGAAAGCCGGAUUAAUACCGCAUAAGCUCUGAGGAGGAAAGCGGGGGAUUCGCAAGGACCUCGCGCUGUUGGAGCGGCCGAUGUCGGAUUAGCUAGUUGGUGGGGAAAGGCCCACCAAGGCGACGAUCCGUAGCUGGUCUGAGAGGAUGAUCAGCCACACUGGAACUGAGACACGGUCCAGACUCCUACGGGAGGCAGCAGUGGGGAAUUUUGGACAAUGGGGGCAACCCUGAUCCAGCCAUUCCGCGUGAGUGAAGAAGGCCUGGUUGUAAG
rnacentral:rRNA from 1 species